GAUGAACGCUGGCGGCGUGCCUAAUACAUGCAAGUCGAGCGAACAGAUGAGGAGCUUGCUCCUCUGACGUUAGCGGCGGACGGGUGAGUAACACGUGGAUAACCUACCUAUAAGACUGGGAUAACUUCGGGAAACCGGAGCUAAUACCGGAUAAUAUAUUGAACCGCAUGGUUCAAUAGUGAAAGACGGUUUUGCUGUCACUUAUAGAUGGAUCCGCGCCGCAUUAGCUAGUUGGUAAGGUAACGGCUUACCAAGGCGACGAUGCGUAGCCGACCUGAGAGGGUGAUCGGCCACACUGGAACUGAGACACGGUCCAGACUCCUACGGGAGGCAGCAGUAGGGAAUCUUCCGCAAUGGGCGAAAACCUGACGGAGCAACGCCGCGUGAGUGAUGAAGGUCUUCGGAUCGUAAAACUCUGUUAUUAGGGAAGAACAAAUGUGUAAGUAACUAUGCACGUCUUGACGGUACCUAAUCAGAAAGCCACGGCUAACUACGUG
rnacentral:rRNA from 1 species